GGAGUCUUAGUUUAUUUGAAAUAUCUGUAUUGCAAACAGAUGAUGUGGUUUAGCCGCAGACUCUA
rnacentral:tRNA from 1 species